AAGUUAAAAGUUAUAGGCUUGCACAGAGUUUAGGAGAACUGUUAGAGAUGCUAAGUGCAAAGCUUACGACAAUCUUUACACUAGACUAGAUGGCACCAAUAGAAAACCUAUCAUUUGUAAACUUACUCGAGACUAUGAAAGCACGAGACUUCAACUUGAAUGCAUACAUCCAACACUCAAUGAAUGUGUCUUUUUUAUUUUCAGUCGAGGCAGCUGUGGCAAUCUUUCUUGAUAUUCUCUACCCCAUAUUCUAUAGUCCAACAAACUGUUGCAUUUAUGUUAGUCCUAUGUCUAGGGAUCAGCUAACAGGUGAAAUUAUCAUUACCGUAGCAUACUGUGCUUGGCUAUUGUAAAGAGGAUCCUCUUCCUUGUUUAUAAAUAAGUGAAGUAAUAAACUAUUACUCCAUGUCCAUAAUUAUUAUAAGUGAGGAUGUACCGUUUGCCCUCAUGCCUUUAUAGCCCAAUGGAGUGGUUAUUGCCUCAAUGAUUUUUAUAAUCCGUUGAAGAUAACAACCAUCUUAGUUGGACCAUAUUGACUAAAAGACUAUGUUGGUCAGUCAAUGACCUUCAAUUAAAAUAGUUAAAUGCAUUAGGCCCUGCGGGUGUGGUAGCUAUGGGAUUCAUUACGCAAUGUUUACCCGUUAACUUAAGGUCUAGGGAUCAGCUAAAAACUCCACUUUAAUUGCUUCCAAAGGUCUAGCAAAGUUACAUUGAUUUAAACUUUGAAAACAAAUCACUCAGUAAAUGAAUCCCUUGAAAACAAUUAAGGGUGGUAGCUUCACUUCACUUCUUUCUACAAUGAAUCCCUUGAAAACAAAUCACUCAGUAAAUUUCUCAAAUAGUUGGUGAGCCAUUUUCUCCAACAAGUUUGAUCAUACACAUGGCUCCCCACAAAAGCUCCAAUCUUAUCU